UGAGACACUAGAAAACUAAAUGUGGGAUGG
rnacentral:piRNA from 1 species